rnacentral:misc_RNA from 1 species
GUAGGUGAACCUGCGGAAGGAUCAUUAAUGAGUUGUCAUGGGGUUCGAUGCUGGCAGCCAGUUUUUGGAUGCAUGUGCUUGCCCUAACAAUCAUCUUCUUCCAAACACCUGUGCACAUUUUUGAGGGAGUCUCGAGUUGGUUGCCGCUCUUGGGUGAUUUUCUCACAUUCCCUUAAAUCAUUAUACGCUAUUAACAAUGCUGAACGUGCUCUGUGCCGCAAGGCCAUUAAUAUAAUACAACUUUUAACAACGGAUCUCUUGGCUCUC